rnacentral:rRNA from 1 species
GACGAACGCUGGCGGCGUGCUUAACACAUGCAAGUCGAACGGAAAGGCCUGCUUUCCCUUGUGGAUUGCGGGUACUCGAGUGGCGAACGGGUGAGUAACACGUGAGUGAUCUGCCCCCAACUUGGGUAUAAGCCUGGGAAACUGGGUCUAAUUCCCGAUAGGACUGCAGGGUGGUGCCUGUGGUGGAAAACGAUUUUCUAGUGGUUGGGGAUGAGCUCGCGGCCUAUCAGCUUGUUGGUGGGGUAAUGGCCUACCAAGGCGGCGACGGGUAGCCGGCCUGGGGGGGUGGACGGCACAGUGGGGCCUGGCGCCCGGCCAGGCCCCGUAGGGGGGGAAGGAGGGGGGAAUAUGGCAGAGGGGGGGGAGGCGUGAUGCAGCGACCCCGUGUGGGGGAUGCCGCGUUUGGGGUUGUAACCUCCUGUGGACGGGGAGGAAGCCCCUGGGUGGGAGGGGGGGUGACGGUAGUGGAAAAAGAAGCCCCGGCAAACUCCGUC